AGAGUUUGAUCCUGGCUCAGGAUGAACGCUGGCGGCGUGCUUAACACAUGCAAGUCGAACGAUGACUCUGUGCUUGCACAGAUGAUUAGUGGCGAACGGGUGAGUAACACGUGAGUAACCUGCCCUUGACUCUGGGAUAAGCCUGGGAAACUGGGUCUAAUACUGGAUAUGCACCGUGGACCGCAUGGUUCUUGGUGGAAAGAUUUUAUUGGUCAAGGAUGGACUCGCGGCCUAUCAGCUUGUUGGUGAGGUAAUGGCUCACCAAGGCGACGACGGGUAGCCGGCCUGAGAGGGUGACCGGCCACACUGGGACUGAGACACGGCCCAGACUCCUACGGGAGGCAGCAGUGGGGAAUAUUGCACAAUGGGCGAAAGCCUGAUGCAGCGACGCCGCGUGAGGGAUGACGGCCUUCGGGUUGUAAACCUCUUUCAGUAGGGAAGAAGCGAAAGUGACGGUACCUGCAGAAGAAGCGCCGGCUAACUACGUGCCAGCAGCCGCGGUAAUACG
rnacentral:rRNA from 1 species